rnacentral:lncRNA from 1 species
CUUUUUCCGCUUGGAACAAAUACGAUUCGCCUAAGAAUUUGUGAUUCAGUCUUGGAAACGCAUGUUUUGUCUAUAUAAAAAUGUAUGCUUUUUGCCUUCUAGGACCACUCAAUACUAAGCUUAAUCGCCACAUAAGAACAAUUCACUUUGUAAAACACUAGCUGCGUGUUUUUCUUCAAAGUCACCUUCCUACAAACCUUUCCAGCUUGGAACGGACACGAUUCGCCAAAUAAUGUGUGGUUCAGACUGGGAAAUGCAUGUUUUGUCUUACAUUGAAGUCUGCUUUUUCGUCUCUAGAACCACUGAUAACACUAGCUGUGUGUUUAUAUUCAAAGUCAACUUACUAUAUGUUUUUCCUGUUUUGAAUGAACAGUUUUCGCCAAAGUAUGAGAGAUUCAGACUGGGAAAACCAGGUUAUGUCUAUAUUGAAAAGUCUGCUUUUUGCUCUCUAGAGCCACUUGAAACUCGGCAUAUUCGCCGAGUAACACCAUUCAAUUUGCAAAUCACUAGCUCUGUGUUUAUCUUCAAAGUCAAAUUCCUACAAGCUUUUCCCACUUGGAUGGAACAGAAUACGCCUAAGAAUGUGUGAUUCAGACUGCGAAAGGCAUGUUUUGUCUAUAUAGAAAAGUAUGCUUUUUACCCUCUAGUACCACUUAAAAUUAAGCAUAUUGGCCAAGUAACAACAAUUCACUUUGCAAAACACUAGCUGUGUGUUUAUCUUCAAAGUCAACUUCCUACAAGACUUUCCCACUUGGAACGAACACGAUUCG